CAACGGAUAAAAGGUACGCCGGGGAUAACAGGCUGAUGACGCCCAAGAGUCCAUAUCGACGGCGUCGUUUGGCACCUCGAUGUCGGCUCAUCACAUCCUGGGGCUGAAGCAGGUCCCAAGGGUACGGCUGUUCGCCGUUUAAAGUGGUACGCGAGCUGGGUUCAGAACGUCGUGAGACAGUUCGGUCCCUAUCUGCCGUGGGCGUUGGAUGAUUGAGGAGAGUUGCCCCUAGUACGAGAGGACCGGGGUGAACGAACCACUAGUGUACCAGUUGUUCUGCCAAGAGCAUCGCUGGGUAGCUACGUUCGGAUGAGAUAACCGCUGAAAGCAUCUAAGCGGGAAGCCAACUCCAAGAUGAAUCAUCCCUGAAGAUCCGCAGAAGACUACUGCGUUGAUAGGCUGGGUGUGUAAGUGAUGAAAGUCAUUUAGCUGACCAGUACUAAUAGAUCGUUUGUAUUUACUUUA
rnacentral:rRNA from 1 species